GGAACCUUACCUGGGCUCAAAUGUAUGUUGACGUAUUCGUGAAAAGGGAUACUUCUUCGGACAAUAUACAAGGUGCUGCAUGGUUGUCGUCAGCUCGUGCCGUGAGGUGUCGGGUAAGUCCCAUAACGAGCGCAACCCCUAUCAUUAGUUGCCAUCAGGUCAAGCUGGGGACUCUAAUGAAACUGCCUACGCAAGUAGUGAGGAAGGUGGGGAUGACGUCAAAUCAGCACGGCCCUUACGUCCAGGGCUACACACGUGCUACAAUGGCCGAUACAGAGGGCAGCUACCUGGUGACAGGAUGCAAAUCUCCAAAGUCGGUCUCAGUUCGGAUCGGAGUCUGCAACCCGACUCCGUGAAGUUGGAUUCGCUAGUAAUCGCGCAUCAGCCAUGGCGCGGUGAAUACGUUCCCGGGCCUU
rnacentral:rRNA from 1 species